rnacentral:rRNA from 1 species
UACGUAGGAUGCAAGCGUUGUCCGGAAUUAUUGGGCGUAAAGAGCGCGCAGGCGGUCUGCCAAGUCAGAUGUGAAAGAGGCCGGCUUAACCGGCAAGGGUCAUUUGAAACUGACAGACUAGAGUGCAGCAGAGGAUAGCGGAAUUCCCGGUGUAGUGGUGAAAUGCGUAGAGAUCGGGAGGAACACCAGUGGCGAAGGCGGCCCUCUGGGCCGGGCCUGACGCUGAGACGCGAGGGCGUGGGGAGCGAACGGG